rnacentral:tRNA from 1 species
CUGGACGAAGCGCAACUUGGCAGCGCGCCGGCGUCGGAAGCCGGAGGUUGAGAGUUCGAGUCUCUCCGUCCAGACCA